rnacentral:rRNA from 1 species
GGGCCUUGCGCGAUUAGAUGAGCCGAUGUCCGAUUAGCUAGUUGGCGGGGUAAAGGCCCACCAAGGCGACGAUCGGUAGCUGGUCUGAGAGGAUGAUCAGCCACACUGGAACUGAGACACGGUCCAGACUCCUACGGGAGGCAGCAGUGGGGAAUAUUGGACAAUGGGCGCAAGCCUGAUCCAGCCAUNCCGCGUGGGUGAAGAAGGCCUUCGGGUUGUAAAGCCCUUUUGUUGGGAAAGAAAAGCAANUCGGUUAAUACCCGGUUGUUCUGACGGUACCCAAAGAAUAAGCACCGGCUAACUUCGUGCCAGCAGCCGCGGUAAUACGAAGGGUGCAAGCGUUACUCGGAAUUACUGGGCGUAAAGCGUGCGUAGGUGGUGAUUUAAGUCCGUUGUGAAAGCCCUGGGCUCAACCUGGGAAUUGCAGUGGAUACUGGG